UGGCGAAUGGGUAUAUAUGUGAGCAAUCUGCCCUGGAGUCUGUGGAUAGCGCUGGGAACGGGUCUACUAUGGAUACUAGCUGGGAAUGGCAUCUUCAGUCAGCUGGAAAGGAACUCGGUCAUGGAUGAGCUCGCGGCCUAUCAGNUUGUUGGUGAGGUAACGGCUCACCAAAGCAGUCUACGGGUAGCCGCCUGAGAGGGUGACGGCCAGAUUGGACUGAGACACGGCCAAUUCCUAAGGAGGCACAGUGGGGAAUAUUGCACAAUGGGCGAAAGCCUGAUGCAUCAACGCCUGCAGUGAGGGACUGACGGCCUUCGUGGUUGUAAACCUCUUUUACAGGGAAGAAGCGCACAUGUGACAGGUAUCCUGCAGAAGAAAGCGCCGGACUAACUACGUGCCAACAUCCGGGUAAUACGUAGGCGCAAGCGUUAUCCGGAAUUUAUUGGGGCGUAAAGAGGCUCGUAAGCGGUUUGUCGCGUCUGCUUGUGAAACCCCGAGGGUCAACCUCGGGCCUGCAUUAGGUACNGGCAGACUAAAUUGCGGUCAUGGGAUAUUGGAAAUUCCUGGUGUAACGGUGGAAUGCGCAGAUAUCAGGAUGAA
rnacentral:rRNA from 1 species